GGGAAGUUUUCUUUUCAUAUUGCUCGUCGUUAUGCGCUUUUUCUGGCGGUGGGAAUUUCCCUUUUAUUGGCUGCUUGUCGCAUAGGCUGCGAUGCUGGCGAGUGCUGAUGCUGCGUUUCAGUAUGAAUCGGGACACACGCUAAGACGGUAACGCCAGCCAAGCGCAUUCUACACAAGCAAUUAGUGUGUGCGUGUGUGUAUGCUCUACAGAGUUGUUGUGGUAAAUGCGCGCCGCGUUCGUUCGUCCUGUCGCUCGUCGCGCGCUCGCUCGCUUGUUCGUUGUUUGACCGCUCGCUGGACCACCCAAUCGAAUUGAUGACGGACCGCAUGUGCAUAUAAACAAAUAACGGUUGUUUGAGGUGUGUGUUAUUUUGUGGCGGCACGCACUUAAAUCGUUGAAUUUUGUGGCAUGUGGUAAGUGUGUUGGUGUAAACGCUUUCUUCGCCAUAUAUGUGUGUGUCUGUGCGUGCGCUUUUCAAGUUUGUAGAACAAAUACCCUUGCAUGUGGUGUUGCAAGUAAACAAAAUUUACGAAAGUGAGCAAAUACAAAGUGGAAAUUUCCACAUUUUUUGCUGUGAAAAACUACUCAGAAAUGACGAAGAAAAAAAUAUUUUUUAAAAAUUUUGUAUUUCCAACAAAAACAAAUUGCGUAAAAAGUUUAGAAACGACUUCCUUGUAGCAGCUGUGGCACAAACAAACGGCAACAACAACGAUAGCGCGCGUGCAUAUUUCCGCCAUGCAACGCACAAUUUGUGCUCACUGAAACGCAUUUUCAACAUUUUUGACAUUCACACUUUGUUCGCCAAUCGUUCUGCAGCGCUGUGUUUUUCCCCCAAAUAAAUGCAUGGAUGUUACGUAUACGCCAUGGCUGCUCGUCUCGUUUCGUUGCCUUUGCAGUAUGCAAUGAUAGUUUUGGCAGCAGCCAGCAAGUCUGUGCGAAUUCGCAAUGUUUUUGUUACACUUGGUGCCAAUAAAAGGAAAACAAUAAUAACAACAACAACAAGUGAAGUUGUUUGUGCGAAAAUAUAAAAAAAGACGCAAAAUUUGUUAAGAGUUACCAACGCUUUUAUCAAGAUAAUUAUCAUGAAAAUGAGUGCAAAUUGCAAGAUAAAACAAUGAAAACCAAUUCUAUUAAAAUCCCAUUUGAGGGCCUUGAAUGCCAUGCUAUUCGACAAUUACAAAUGCAAAUGCACACACAUAUUUACCUUGCCGUUGAGACAAUGAAUUAAAGGCGAAGCACGAAAAUCACACUGUCAAGGCGACAGCGAACGAAAUCACACGCAUAUUUGGCGAAAAACAAAAGAAAAAAUUUUGCAAAAACACAAAAACAGAAAUAGAAAAUUUUCGAGACACAAAAAAAGUAGAAUAAUAAAACCUCUUAAAAGUGCACACAUGUCUGGGUAUGCAUAAAGGGUGUAUCGUUAAAUGAGGCGCGCGUAGGCCCAGCAUUGUUAACACGCGCUGAUGAAUGGCAUGUGAUCGAGGAAUAGGAGAAUAGCGUAGG